ACAUAUCCAAAGUAAAGGACGAUUCGUUAAAUCACAUCUCUCAUUGAUAGACGAACGUUAGAACGGAACAGAUCGUCGCGUUGAAAACGUACUGGAGGCGUUGGCCCUUGGCCAGAUGACGAAAGCAGCAGCAGCAGCAGCAGCAGCAGCAACGACGACAACGACUACGACGACUACGACGACUACGACGACUAGUAUCCCGUAUGUAACUUCAAUAGGAUCUUUUAUGUCUCUACGGGCAUACUUAAAAACACUCGUCACUCGAAUCAUCAUCAUCACGGUGAAAGCAAUUUGGCCGGAGUUAUCUCGUCGUCCUUUAACGAGACGGAUGAGAUAGGGAAGACGGACAGCCUACGGCCAAGUGCGACGUUUCAUUUAACGAAAGAAAAGAAAAGAUGGGGGAAAAGAGAGAGAGAGAGAGAGAGAGAGAGAGAGAGAGAGAGAGAGAGAGAGCCCACGGUGGCACGAAGCCUGUUCCACAUUACGAUAAGCAACGUUUUGUAGAGCCGAUAGCUCAAAGCUCGUACUACACGAGAGUCUUGCGUGCAAGAUUAAUUCAUGGGAAUCGUUACCAGUUUCAAAUCCCAUUCUCAAGAUUAAAGUUAAUCGAUACAAGUACGUAAACUCGGUAACCAACCAACUACCGUUUUAAAUUUCUUUCGAGUUUCAGUAGGGAGAAAUGUAAUGCUUUCGAAAGAAAAAGAAAGGAGAAAGAAAAAGGAAGAAGAAAAAAAAUAUAAAGAAAAAAGAUGAAACCUUUCUCUGUGAGUACCCUCCAUUCGUCUUACCAACUUUAUAUUUUCCUCCUUUUCCUCCUUAUAUACACAUAGAACGUACGUAUUUACAUAUCUAUUUAUAAAGUACGAUCCAAUUAAAGCAUUUAAUAAAUAUCGUUCAAGUUCACUCAUUCGUUUUUCCAAUUAUUAUUGCGUUUUAUUAUAUUCGUUUUAUCGUAUCAUCGUCUCUUCUCGCAAAACAAAUUUAUUAUUAUUAUUAUUAUUAUUAUUAUUAUUAUUAUUAUUAUUAUUAUUAAUUAAUUUAUUUUUUUUCCCUUUCCUUUUCCGCUUGCGAAUCAUUGCUAUUGCUAUUUUCAUGAAUAUAAUAUUUUCAACUGAAUCUUUAUCAACUAUUAUGGAACAUAAAUAUAGGAAUUGCGCGUAGAUAUUAUCAAAUGCUGGUUAACGAGCUAAAUAGAUGCUUCGAGUUCGUAGGAGGCACCCAGAAGUUCGCCAUUUCAAGUGUUCUCGAAGUCAAUCUUAAGCCCUUAUUACCGUAUGCGCACUUAGGUACCUACCUUGCUUGAAAGCGGAGCCAACCGAGUACAGACAAUGCUCGUACGAGGGAUUGUUCAUCGAAUGGCAUCGGCUUCAUUGGGAUUUGAUUUAAUGUCUAGUAUGGAACAGCGAUUGUGUGGGAGCAACCUUAACGAGGCGAACGAACGUUGCAGAAUGUUGAAGAGGGAAGUUUGCCAUUAAAUCAUACCAUAGUCCAGCAUACCAUAUUAAUGGUUCUAUUGCGAUACCGUAGGUACGUACCUAGAAAAUGUUACCUCCUGUUUCCUGAUGAAGAAACUUGGACCAUUUACCGACUAUUGAAUGAGCUUAACUCUGCUUAUUUUAAUUGUUAAUUAUUUUAAAAUCUAAAUCGAUAAUCGAAAAUUAAUACUUUUCAUUUUAUAAAAGAGAAUUAUUAGAUUAAAUAGGUAUAACUGAUUAAUAUAUAUAUAUAUUUAUAUAUAUAUAUAUAUAUAUAUAUGUUCGAUUGAUAAUUGAUCAAUUAGUUGAUUAGUAUAAAUAGAUAUUAGAAGUAUGAGAAAUAUGAAUGUCAAUUAGAUUAAAUUACUAUUGUAAUAUAAAUGAUGGGAUUAGUAUAAUUGACUUAUCAGGUGUUGAAAUUAUUGCAAUCGAAAUAAUUAAUAUAUUUAUUAAAACGAAUCGAAUAAAGAAGAAAUGGCUCGUUAAAAACAAAGAACGUUGCAGUAGAUUUAGCGUUAUUAAUUAUUACGUCCGAGUAACGAGCUUGUGAGUAAGUAGAUAUAUGUAAAAUCAUAUCGAAGAUUGAACAUAUGUGAAAAUUGAAAAAUUAAUUAAUCGUGCAAUUAAAACGAAUACAAUCUGUUAAUUAAAUAGACGAUAGAAUAUAUAUAUAUAUAUAUAUAUAUAUAUAUAUAUAUAUAUAUAUAUACAUUCAUAUAUAUAUAUACAUAAAUCUGAUUAAAUAGUCCCGAUCAUUUAGAAUCCAUAUUAACGCGAAUCCGAGGGAAAGUUGUUUAUAAGAUAGAAAAUCAAAAAGGAUAAUUAAAUAAUUAGGUUAAUUAUACCGUAUAAAUAAAUAAAUAAAUAAAUAUAUAUAUAUAUAUCAUGUUAGAGUUAGCAUUCAUGAGAAGUUGUUAGCUAUGACAAGUUUAGUAAUAGAAAGUGUUUUAAGAAGUUUAUUAAUUUUUUUUUUCGACUUGUCAUUUUUUAUGAAAAUGUUUUCUUCCGGCAUAUGGUACCAAUGGGGACCCGCAUGCAAGAACGCAAAAUGAAAAGGUAAAGGAAGAGUGCCAGUACGUGUUGGGAAUAAUGGAAAAGCUUAAGAGCUUAUUGCGGUAGAGCGUGCUAACUGCACGACUCGAGACAGAACCGAUCGACGAACUCUUUGUCGUCAUACAUAGUUCUCGUAGUCACAUAUAGUAUAUAGUAUAUAUUUAUAUAUAUGUAUAUAUAUAUAUAUAUACAUAUACAUAUAUGUUGUGUUGUGCACUCGGUCGAAUAGUCAGUUCCUUUCUAA